GACGAACGCUAGCGGCAGGCCUAACACAUGCAAGUCGAGGGGCAGCAUAAAAUAAGCUUGUUUAUUUGGUGGCGACCGGCGCACGGGUGCGUAACGCGUAUGCAACCUACCUUACACAGGGGGAUAGCCCGGAGAAAUUCGGAUUAAUACCCCAUAGCACUAUCGGAUGGCAUCAUUUGAUAUUUAAAGCUUUGGCGGUGUAAGAUGGGCAUGCGUCCUAUUAGCUAGUUGGUGAGGUAACGGCUCACCAAGGCUACGAUAGGUAGGGGGCCUGAGAGGGUGGUCCCCCACAAUGGUACUGAGACACGGACCAGACUCCUACGGGAGGCAGCAGUGGGGAAUAUUGGUCAAUGGGCGCAAGCCUGAACCAGCCAUGCCGCGUGAAGGAUGAAGGUUCUAUGGAUUGUAAACUUCUUUUAUUUGGGAAUAAACCCCUUUACGUGUAGAGGGCUGAAGGUACCAAAUGAAUAAGCACCGGCUAACUCCGUGCCAGCCGCCGCAGUAAAAC
rnacentral:rRNA from 1 species